UGCGCCAGGGGAAGUUUUUAAAGGAAAAAUUGUCCGAUCGUGUCGGAUGUCAGGAACAAAAUUAAAUAGACUAGUAAUUAAAAUUUUCAUAAUAUUUAUAAAAUCUCACCUUGAUUCAUAGACAUGAUCAAGGUAGAAAAGGUUCCUUAAUCGAUUUGCUUUGCGAGAUCCAGAUGCACAGAUCCUUUACUUCGCAUGCAUGCUAAGCAACGUAGGAGAGAGAGAUGAAGAACUCUUCAGAAGGAAAGAAAGAGAGCCUUGAGAUUUGAUCUUAAGACCUUAGAAGGAGCCCACAUGUCACACCAAGAGGGAUAGGGAGGAUGCCCAAG
rnacentral:lncRNA from 1 species